GGGAGGGGGGGCUAGCGUUGUUCGGAAUUACUGGGCGUAAAGGGCGCGUAGGGCGGCUUUGCCAGUCAGGGCGUGAAAGCCCCGGGCUUAACCUGGGAAUUGCGCUUGAUACUGCGAAGCUAGAGAUCGGGAGAGGAGAGUGGAAUUCCCAGUGUAGAGGUGAAAUUCGUAGAUAUUGGGAAGAACACCAGUGGCGAAGGCGGCUCUCUGGACCGAUACUGACGCUGAGGCGCGAAAGCGUGGGGAGCAAACGGGAUUAGAUACCCUGGUAGUCCACGCCGUAAACGAUGUGCGCUAGACGUUGGGGGUUAGGCCCUCGGUGUCGCAGCUAACGCAUUAAGCGCACCGCCUGGGGAGUACGGCCGCAAGGUUA
rnacentral:rRNA from 1 species